AGUCUAACAUGUGCGCGAGUCAUGGGGUUCGUACGAAACCCAAAGGCGCAAUGAAAGUAAAGGUCUCCUCCGGAGCACCCAGGCAGGAUCCGGCGUCCUCGCGGCGCCGGCGCACUGCCGGCCCGUCUCGGCGGCAUCGUCCGCGAGGCGGAGCAGGAGCGCACACGUUGGGACCCGAAAGAUGGUGAACUAUGUCUGAGUAGGGCGAAGUCAGAGGAAACUCUGAUGGAGGCCCGCAGCGAUUCUGACGUGCAAAUCGAUCGUCAAACUUGGAUAUAGGGGCGAAAGACUAAUCGAACCAUCUAGUAGCUGGUUCCCUC
rnacentral:rRNA from 1 species